rnacentral:rRNA from 1 species
UACGUAGGGGGCAAGCGUUGUCCGGAUUUACUGGGUGUAAAGGGCGCGUAGGCGGAUUUGUAAGUCAGUGGUGAAAGCCUGUAGCUUAACUACAGAACUGCCUCUGAUACUGCAUAUCUUGAAUUCGGAAGAGAGAAGCGGAAUUCCAGGUGUAGUAGUGAAAUACGUAGAUAUCUGGAAGAACACCAGUGGCGAAGGCGGCUUCUUGGUCCGUAAUUGACGCUGAGGCGCGAAAGCGUGGGGAGCAAACAGG